AUUGAACGCUGGCGGCAUGCUUUACACAUGCAAGUCGAACGGCAGCGGGGAGGAGCUUGCUUCUCUGCCCGCGAGUGGCGUACGUGUGAGUAAUACAUCGGCACGGUUCUAGAAGAUGGGGAUAACCACCUGAAAGUGUUGCUAAUACCGCAUAGAGUCUGAGGAAGAAAGCUGUGGACCUAUGAAUAGGCCUAGCGCUUUUUGAGCGGCCGAUGUCGGAUUAGCUAGUUGGUGAGGUAAAGGCUCACCAAGGCGAAGAUCUGUAGCGGGUCUGAGAGGAUGAUCAGCCACACUGGGACUGAGACACGGCCCAGACUCCUACGGGAGGCAGCAGUGGGGAAUUUUGGACAAUGGGGGCAACCCUGAUCCAGCCAUGCCGCGUGUAUGAAGAAGGCCUUAGGGUUGUAAAGUACUUUUGUUAGGGAAGAAAAGUAAGCUGUGAAUAAUGGCUGAUACUGACGGUACCUAAAGAAUAAGCACCGGCUAACUACGUG
rnacentral:rRNA from 1 species